AUCUCAUCUCGUAUAGCUCGUGGUCGCACCAAUCUGGAGUUGAGGGAGAAGUUCAUCCUUCCUGAAGGAGCGUCUCAGGGUCUGGCUGCCUUCCGUUCCCGGGGACGACGCUCCAAACCGGGGUCCCGCAACGCUUCGCCAACCCGCUCCUCCUCCUCGGCCUCCCACAGCGGUGCCUCCCUCCCCUCUGCUCCUUCCGCCCCCGCCACACCGACAGCCUCCGCGUCAUCGAGGGUAAGAGCUGACGUCAGUACUUUAAGAUUUGAGGCAGGAUCUAAUUUUAUUGACCUAAAAAGGAGUCAGAUGUCUUAAAUCAGUUAUUUUAGAUUUAUUUUGUUCACCGUGCAAGAACUGUUUUUUUCCACUUCAUAUCCACUCAUUACACUAUAUUAAUGACAGGACAGGAAGAGUAGUAAUGUGUGUGUGUGUGUGUGUAUAAGCAGUUCUACAAAACACAACCAACCUUCAGUAUAUUGAACAGGAUUAAAGGAUAAGGUUUGAAAUUUAGUACCAGCAAUGAUUUAAAGGAAAAUCUAAAAUUUGCAUUGGUAAAACUUGCAGGUACCUUGGGUUCACACUGAGAUAAAACACAGAAGACAACAUGGUUACAGACAAAACCAGAAAGAUUCAAGAAAAUUAGUCACAACACACAGAACGCGAUUGUGCAGAUCAUUUAAACAAUCGAUUUAUCAAAUUUAUCAUUUAGUCGCAUUAAAGGAGAACUCCACCAUUUUGACACAUUAAAGUUUGUUUAUAAGUCUUGAGCAGUGCUACUGCAUAUGUGAAUAACAAUUGUAUAAAGCUUUUGUUGCUCCAGAGGGAGCUGUGUCAAGUUUAAUAAAGUGAGUCAGUUCAGUCCAUUUGUUUGAAAGUUUGAAACAUGGCUGCUUGAGGCUCGAGGCUACAUUAGCCACUACACACCCAAAUCUCCGACUGAACUCUCUGUGGUUGAGUUGCAUUGUGGGUAAUGUAGAUGGCAGGUUAGAAGGAAGAAGAAUGUGUGGAACAAAAAAUCCCAUCAUGAAUCUGACAGUGUUAAAGAGUGCAAUGCUAAAUUGGUGGAAUUCUCUUUUUAUGGGAAAGAGUCUGUGCAGGCUCAUAAAAGUCAAACUUAGUGUGGUUCGGUCUGUCCUAAAUCAUGAGAAUGACACAUUGCAGCUGAAAGUUGCUUUUUUUGUUCACCUGUCAAGAUGAAAAAAUACUAUAGAAUAAGAGCACACACAUACACACAAACCUGAACAACCUCCUCUGUUACACCUGUUGAGGCUGUUAUGUCAAAUAGAAACAUCGUCAUUGUGAGGACAAACACUUCCAGUCCAUUGUUAUCAGUCAACCAGACUGGGUGUAGACAGUCAGUGUUGUUGUCUUCAUCUGAUGUUAGUGAUGUUUUUCAUUUGUCAUCUGAUUUCUGUGGAAAAGCAUUACUGUCGAUGUUUGUGUGAGAGAGUCUGACUGAAUGCACAUUGGUGACUUUGUGUGUGUGUGUGUGUGUGUGUGUGUGUGUUUAUGGGUUUUGUUACACAUUGUUCAGUUGUUGUCAUCCUCCUGUUGUUGUUGUUGUCAACAAUCACCACAUCCUUAACUGUGAAAUUUUAUUUUUUGUUCUUGUUUCUUUGUUUUGUCUUUCAUCUUUUUACCUUUUCCCCUCGUUCCUGUCAUUCAAACCCUGCUAACCCGGCUUCAAAACUGUCCUCCCCGCAUUGUUGGGUUGUUUGAAAAAAAAUAAAAAAUAAAUAAAAAUUAAAUUAUCUGCUCUUACACAAAAAUACACUGCGCUGCACUUCCCCGCUAUCCAACCACUCCUUUCCUCCCCUCCAUAACUCCCUCCCUCCCUCCUCCUUUUGCUUUCUCUCUUUGGCUGCCUUGCUCUACUUCUCCUCCUCCCUUCCAUCCUUCCUUGCUCCCUUCCCUUCCUCCCUCCA